CCGGCGCACGGGUGAGUAACGCGUAUGCAACCUGCCCGUUUCAGCGGGAUAACCCGGAGAAAUCCGGCCUAAUACCGCAUGUGGCCGAGGGGAGGCAUCUUCUUUCGGCCAAAGGAGGCGACUCCGGAGACGGAUGGGCAUGCGUGACAUUAGCUAGUUGGCGGGGUAACGGCCCACCAAGGCGACGAUGUCUAGGGGUUCUGAGAGGAAGGUCCCCCACACUGGUACUGAGACACGGACCAGACUCCUACGGAAGGCAGCAG
rnacentral:rRNA from 1 species